CAGUCGCCACGGGAAUACGGAGGGUGCAAGCGUUAUCCGGAUUUAUUGGGUUUAAAGGGUCCGUAGGCGGAUCUGUAAGUCAGUGGUGAAAUCUCACAGCUUAACUGUGAAACUGCCAUUGAUACUGCAGGUCUUGAGUAAAUUUGAAGUGGCUGGAAUAAGUAGUGUAGCGGUGAAAUGCAUAGAUAUUACUUAGAACACCAAUUGCGAAGGCAGGUCACUAAGAUUUAACUGACGCUGAUGGACGAAAGCGUGGGGAGCGAACAGGAUUAGAUACCCCGGUAGUCCCUGUCUCUUAUAC
rnacentral:rRNA from 1 species